rnacentral:rRNA from 1 species
GCCUAAAAACUAGCCCACCCACCACAACAAUAAGAUCUUACUAAACCCCCCACAAGAACUAAAAACAACAAACAAAUCAUUUUUCCACCCCAGUAUGGGAGACAGAAAAGGAACAAGGAGCAAUAGACAGAGUACCGCAAGGGAAAGUUGAAAGAGAAAUGAAAAAACUCAUCUAAGCCAAUGAAAGCAGAGACUAGAACUCGUACCUUUUGCAUCAUGAUUUAGUUAGAAGCCCUCAGGCAAAGUGCCCUGUAGUCUGGACCCCCGAAACUGAAGCGAGCUACUCCAAGAUAGCCUGUAAUUUAGGGCAAACCCGUCUCUGUGGCAAAAGAGUGGGAAAAUCUUCAAGUAGAGGUGACAAGCCUACCGAGCUCAGUUAUAGCUGGUUGCCUGGAAAAUGAAUAUAAGUUCAGCCCCUCGGCCCCCCACCCCAAGCGGGAAUAACCCCGCCAGGCCCCGGAGGAGCCAAGGGAGUUAGUCAAAAGAGGUACAGCUCUUUUGAAAAAGAUACAACUUAAUCAGGAGGCCAAAGAUCAUAUAAAACAAGGAAAAUUAUCCCAGUGGGCCUGAAAGCAGCCACCUAAGCAGAAAGCGUUAAAGCUCAAUUAAUGAUCCAACCAGUUAUACUGAUAGAAAAUCUUUAUCCCCUACAACUACCCGGCCUCCCCACGCACCCGUGGGGGAGAUAAUGCUAAAAUGAGUAAUAAGAGGGCAAGCCCCUCUCCCAGCACCCGUGUAAGUCGGAGCGGACCCGCCACCGACCAUUAACCGCCCUCAAACAAAGAGAGCCCUGCACAAAACACAGAAUACAAGAAAAACGUGCACCCCCAAAUCGUUACCCCCACACAGGAGUGCAACAAGUGGAAAGACUAAAAGAAAAAGAAGGAACUCGGCAAACACAAGCCUCGCCUGUUUACCAAAAACAUCGCCUCUUGUAACACCAAAAUGAGAGGUCCCGCCUGCCCUGUGACAAAUGUUUAACGGCCGCGGUAUUUUGACCGUGCGAAGGUAGCGCAAUCACUUGUCUCUUAAAUGGAGACCUGUAUGAAAGGCAUCACGAGGGCUUAGCUGUCUCCUUUUUCCAGUCAAUGAAAUUGAUCUCCCCGUGCAGAAGCGGGGAUGCGCACAUAAGACGAGAAGACCCUAUGGAGCUUAAGACCUCCCCCGACCCAUGUGACACACUCAACAAAGGCAGAACUUAAUGGACCCCGGGAAACUGUCUUUGGUUGGGGCGACCGCGGGGGAUGAAAAGCCCCCAUGUGGAAUAGAGAAACAUCUCUAAAACCCAGAGCCACUACUCCAAGUAACAGAACAUCUGACCUGUACGAUCCGGCAAGGCCGAUCAACGAACCGAGUUACCCUAGGGAUAACAGCGCAAUCCCCUCCCAGAGCCCAUAUCGACGAGGGGGUUUACGACCUCGAUGUUGGAUCAGGACAUCCUAAUGGUGCAGCCGCUAUUAAGGGUUCGUUUGUUCAACGAUUAAAGUCCUACGCGAUCUGAGUUCAGACCGGAGCAAUCCAGGUCAGUUUCUAUCUAUGAAAUGCUCUCUUCCAGUACGAAAGGGCCGAAGAGAAGAGGCCCAUGCCAAGAGCACGCCUCCCCCUUACCCAGUGAAAACAACUAAAGUGGACAAAAGGGCAUGCCCCAGUUGGGCCAAAGAUAAUGGCAA